CGGGAGCACGCACCGCAUCCCGGAGCCUCCCGCCGGGAAUGGGGCGCGGGGAUCAGCUGCGGAGCCCUCUCGGGAGCAGCUGUUCAUAGCCGCGGUCUGAACCGGGGCUCAGGAUUAGCACCUCGUGACAGCGGGGCGGAAAAGACGCGCUGCCUUCGCGGUGUUUGCCGCUUCGUACGUCUGUCACUGCGUCCUUCUUCUGAAAGUUACCAGCCUACCCACAGGAGGAGGGAAAAUGCUUUUUUUCAUGUACAUCUUGAACUCUGCUUCUUCCAUGGUAUCUAAGCAUUUGCAAAUGAGUCAUAUUUUCCUAUAUCCUUGGUACAUAAACACGUGAGUGAACACAGUAAUAAACGUGAAUGAGCACAGCAAUGAUUUAAUGCAGAGAUUCUUGGCUUGCAUUUAUUCCUUGCUUACAUGACCAUGAAGCUACAGUCUCUUAUAAGAAACCAGUGGAUAUGAUGCUAGUGAGUGGAAGAAGGGAUAGUCUUGGACUGAGCCGCUGAGGAAGAAGAGCGGUGGGUUUAUCAGAAAUCUGAGUACUGUAGCAAAAAUUGGGGAGGAAAAUGAGCAUGUGAGGCAGCUGAUACUUCAUGGGUUAAUGCUAUAUACACAGUAACUCAUGAAGGCUUUAAGGGAAUUAAUGAAGUGGAGAAGACUGAAAAGAAGUCAAGUGGCUCUUGGUGAUAAAAAAUGGCCAGAUGUCAUCCUGGUUCACCUGAUGAAACAGGUUUGCAUGAAAGAAACUUGGAUCAAAAGAAAACCACUUAUGCUCCCCCUGCAUCCAUAGGAGAUGGUUCUGUUUCUGGAGAUCUUCCACUGUGGCCAAACUGGUCAUGGUGAAAAGUACAGCCUACAUGUCGUGAAGAGGGCUGUAUAUAUAAUUUCCUUGAAGAAGUAAGGCAGCAUCUGCCUCAAGCUGUGAUGGCCUAGAAAUAUUGAUUAACACAUCCAUGUAACUGAUACCAACAUUCCUUUACACUGCAGUAAAUAUGUCAGUUGUGGACAAGAUUUGCUCUAAUGAACUCUGCUUAUAAUGGACUUAUUUUAGUAAUUAAAUUCACAUUGACAGUAUAUGCAUCAUUAUUCAGAUACUUAGAAAUUCCUGCAGUGCAAUUAUCUGGUACUGAGACAUAAGUGGCCAUCUACUAUGCAUUUAAAUUUAAAGUUAGGAAGUAUUACAAAUGUUACAGAAAAACCACCACUAAUAAACUUUUGUGUUAAAAUAUUAUCGUUAAUAUAUUGCUCAUGAAAUCUCAGGUUGAAUUUAUUAUUCUGUUUGCUGCAGGAUCACGUUCUUCAUUGAAGUUCAGUGGGGUUUACCCAAGGCUGCUUUUUCUGGUGGUUUCUUUCCCUGCCUAUCCAAGCCUUCUGUGGGUUGAGGAACCUUUUCUGCUACUCCUGCCUUUCCAUCAGUCUUCUUUGCUGCUUGCUGGUUGCUUUUUGUAUCCUUUUCCACAGGGGGCAUUUCAUUUGGAUCAGGUGUCUCUUCUGUAGCAAUAAUUUCUUCUACGUGUGGCUUAAUAAAAUCUGAUUUAGGAGAAGUAAUAAAAUUUCUGAGUAAUCUUAAGUAACAAUAUUUACUGUGCUCAGCAACAUUUCUUUCACAUUAGUUAUGACCUUAUCAUGUUCUUUUCCUCUUUCCCUACCCAUAUAAAGAGAUUCAGUAUCACAUAUAACAUUACUACUUCUUAUGGAACCAAAACCAAGCCCAAGUCUUUAUGGCCUCUAAUUAAAAUGAUUAAGAGGUAGAUACUGGAAAACAUUUACAGGUACAGAAAUAAUUGUUUCCACUUAAGUCACCUAAUUUACAGGAUUGCUCAGAAAAGUCUACCAUACCAGAAAGGCAAGAGAUGAAGGGAAUGCUGUAAAAUAUUUGUUCUUGCCUUAGGAGCAAAAAGGGGGCGGGGGAGGGGGGGGAAGUAUAAAAUGUUCUGUCAGAAAUGAUAUAACAUGUAUGCAAAGAAAAAGUACUUAGGCAAAAAUAUGUAAAACAUGUUAUGAUAUUGUUGGAAUUAAAGACUAAUUUGGAGUUAAAAUGCUCUAUAUGAGAGAGUUGUAAUUGGGAAGAGUAAAUCAGUGUCGAAGUAGUAAUUAUAGUAAGAGUCCAAAAGAACAGUAAAAUAAUAUACAAGUAAUAUACAAGAAAGCUGAGUCACCAGAGAGCUUUUAAUUUUCUACCCUUUCUCUAAAUGAGACAAAAAAUGGUCGCUUAUAAUUCCAACUUUACCAUUCCAUGUGGACAUAAAACUAAGAGAGAAUAAUUGAUGAAUCUCAAGUAGUGGCUAAACAGUCAGGGUUUUCUAAAAUCCCUAGGCAUUUGGCGUCCCUGAAUCAGCAAGGCCUUAUUUUUGGUGAAAUAUCAAACAUCUAGCUGCUGCAAUGAGUCUCACUUUGGAAAAUAACACCAUCUGUGUAUGUACACAUGCUUACAAAGUCUUCCCUCUGCAUUCAGAAAUUUGAAAGGAUUUAUUAUGACUUAAAAAGCUUUCAUCAGCCAGGUUAGUCAAGGUGACAACUUGCAGUGGAAGUAGAAAAGGUGGUUUAAAAAUAUUGAUUUAAGUCUCUCUCACUUAGGCCUAACCUGGUAAUUCAUACUUUGCAUCUGUUGUUGAUUGAAAGUGUGCUUACUAUAAACUUGAUUGAUUGGGACCUAUGAAAUCUUGAUUGGCACAGACAAUUAACUCCAUAACAAUUUAACAAUUUUUUCAUUGGAAUAGAAGACUGUAACAGUGAAAGCACUCACCUUUCUUUUCCCCUUCCUUCUGUUUGCUUGCUGUCAUUGUUUUUUUCUUUUUAGAUACAGUUUUAUUAUUUUGAUUGUGUCCUUGGACUGUAUCAGUCUGCCCUGACACAGGCAUCACAAUCACCUGAAGCAAAGCAAGAACAAAACGUGCACAAGCAAGGCAUGUGGAUGCAUCACAAAGUCAGGCUGAAAUCACCAUAACUGAAUCCCUGGAAGCAACACCUUUUGAAGCAGCUAUUACUCUAACUUUCAGGGACACAUACAUCUGUCAAAGCAAAAAAAAAGUAGUAUCCAGCCUGGGAGGUGACCCACGUGUAUUCCCUGGCAGUUCUGCCAAAAGGAGGGAGGCAGGAGGACAGAUUUUUCAAAAUAAAGUGGUAGAAAUAAACUGUUGCCAAAAUGCAAUCAUUAUUAAAAAUAAUACUAAGUAAUAAACAUCAGUUAUUGCAAAGAGCGAGUCAUAUUCUUGUUUGCACUCUGGAGGAUGGAAGAGCUGUGACACUGUUAUUUGUAAGUUAUAUGUCGUGGGACAAAUAUGGAGUGACCUGCAUAUCAUCCUUGAAUUGGCUUCAUGUCCUACUAAGAAAAAUUAUAAAAUAAUUUUGCAUUAGUUCUUUGAACUCGGGAAGCUUGCUGUAUCUCAAAUUUCAGAUCUUCUCAUGAUUAUAUUUUGAAAUUCAAAAAUUAGGCCUUGUUACUUUGUUUUACUCAGCUGCUGUGAUAAUAAUAAAUAAUCUGAACUUUUUUUUGUAACAGA